AGGAGCUACGAAGGAAGGAGGUGAAUGGGAAUCAGGGCUAUUCUUUGGCCGUGGCUAGCAGCGCUGUGUUCGAGCGGCGAGAGUUUGCAGUGGGGACUCGUACGGCGGGAGAACUGGAAGAAGACAUCGAUUCACCAUGAACCUCCCUCUUAUCAACAAGCGGAUUGCACAUUAAGUCCAUCGGUUACUAGAUGAUUAAAGACCGGGAAUGAACUUGGCUGACACAUAAGGAGCGUGCAACUCCAGCACUGCAUUACGCUCAAUUCGAUUUCAAUGAGGUCUGUUCCGUGUAAAGCCGGCUCGCGCCCUAGGAAUGCAGCAGCGCCCAGUCUGAUCUGGAGCAGGGCAGCGUAUUAGGAGCCAAGGACCCGCUGUAGACUCUGUCCUUGCUCGGGCGGAGAGGAGCUCACAGCCAGCGGCUGAGCCAAGCCCCAGCCCCCACUGAGGAGAGGAGAAGCAGCGAAGUGGUAGAACCUGAUCUACCCCCCCAGGGACACCAGCAACGGCUCCCCUCCCCCCCCCCAGGUCACCGCAAGGUUGUGUGCACAGCAGCCAUACAACCGCUCCCCUGUCUGUUUGCACCGGGGCGAGCGGUGGGCGUGCAAGGCGAGUGUGCACCGGCGUGUGCUGUAACACUGCCCCAGUCCCCCCUGCACG